rnacentral:piRNA from 1 species
UGUGAUGGUUGGUAGUAUCCAGUUCU